rnacentral:rRNA from 1 species
GUGGGGAAUAUUGGACAAUGGGCGCAAGCCUGAUCCAGCCAUGCCGCGUGAGUGAUGAAGGCCUUAGGGUUGUAAAGCUCUUUCACCGGUGAAGAUAAUGACGGUAACCGGAGAAGAAGCCCCGGCUAACUUCGUGCCAGCAGCCGCGGUAAUACGAAGGGGGCUAGCGUUGUUCGGAAUUACUGGGCGUAAAGCGCACGUAGGCGGAUAUUUAAGUCAGGGGUGAAAUCCCAGAGCUCAACUCUGGAACUGCCUUUGAUACUGGGUAUCUCGAGGAUGGAAGAGGUAAGUGGAAUUCCGAGUGUAGAGGUGAAAUUCGUAGAUAUUCGGAGGAACACCAGUGGCGAAGGCGGCUUACUGGUCCAUUACUGACGCUGAGGUGCGAAAGCGUGGGGAGCAAACAGGAUUAGAAACCCUUGUAGUCC